rnacentral:lncRNA from 1 species
UUUGAUAUAAACUUUGUGAUAGUGGUUUGCACGUAAUUGAUUAAGAGCAUGAUCCCAGAGGAUAUGUGAGUUCUCGUGUUUUCAAACCUCUUCCCUUGGUUAAGAUUUUUGUUUUGCUUGAGGACAAGCAAGAAUCUAAGUCGGGGGGAGUUGAUAUAUUGUGUUUUUAUCGGUUUUAAGUCUUUAUUUUCUCUUUCAUUUUAUAACUUUUAUUGAGUCAAA